rnacentral:rRNA from 1 species
AUUGAACGCUGGCGGCAGGCCUAACACAUGCAAGUCGAGCGAGCGGCGGACGGGUGAGUAAUGUAUGGGGACUGCCCGCUAGAGGGGGAUAACCACUGGAAACGGUAGCUAAUACCGCAUACUAUCGGAUAUGACAUAUGGGAUUAGCUAGUGGGUUAGUUAAUGGCUCACCUAGGCGACGAUCCCUAGCUGGUCUGCGGGGAUGAUCAGCCACACGGGGACUGAGAAACGGCCCAGAUUCCCGGGGAGGCGGCAGAGGGGAAUUUUGGACAAUGGGCGCAAUCCUGAUGCAGCCAUGCCGCGUGUAGAAAGAGGGCCCUAGAGUUGUAAAGUACGUUCAGUCGGGAGGCGUUACCGACAGAAGAAGCACCGGCUAACUCCGUGCCAGCAGCCGCGGUAAUAC